UCCCGGUUGCCCGGGCGGUCUCGCGUGAAAAAUUUAACACACGACAAGGGUUGCGCUCGUUGCGGGACUUAACCCAACAUCUCACGACACGAGCUGACGACGGCCAUGCAGCACCUGUCACCAGGUUCCCGAAGGCACAGCACUGUUUCCAGCGCCUUCCUGGGAUGUCAAGCCUUGGUAAGGUUCUACGCGUAGCAUCGAAUUAAACCACAUCAUCCACUGCUUGUGCGGGUCCCCGUCAAUUCCUUUGAGUUUUAAGCUUGCGCUCGUACUCCCCAGGCGGGAUGCUUAACGCGUUAGCUUCUCAGCACAGAGGGUCGAUACUCCAUACUAAUAGCAUCCAUCGUUUACGGCGUGGACUAC
rnacentral:misc_RNA from 1 species